AGCCUGGAGGCUACAUUCUAGGUCUUUUCUGCUCACUGAAUUUUUUUUAAGAGCCGCGGUAUUUUGACCGUGCUAAGGUAGCGAAAUCAAUUGUUCCUUAAUUAGGGACCUGUAUGAAUGAAUACACAGGGGGCGACUGUCUCUUUUUUAGUGUAUCGAAUUUGCAGAGUAGGUGCAAAUGCCUACUUUUUAAUGAAAGACGAUAAGACCCUGGGAGCUUAACGGAAGUUUAUAGUGAAAACGAUUUUGCUGGGGCGGCAUCGUUUAUACCUAACGAUAAAAACAAAACAAUAAGAUUAAGAAAAAGCUACCCCAGGGAUAACAGCGUAAUUUUAUUUUUAGCUUUCGACCUCGAUGUUGGACUAGGAACACGGCAGGUUAGAAGCCUGCCUGCGGGCUCUGUUCGAGCCAAAUUUCCU
rnacentral:rRNA from 1 species